NNNNNNNNNNNNNNNNNNNNNNNNNNNNNNAGGGAGCUGAGCUGAUCCCGCGCUCGCUGCAGGCGCCUGGCAGAGCCGUGGGGAGCACCGUGCGGGAACGGGGCACCGGGGAGGGCAGCGGGCAGGGUCCCCGGUGCUGCGGGGCUGGGGUGGCCCGGCACGGCGUGGCACGGCAGGGCAUGGCCCAAGGAAGCAGGGUGCAGCGCAGCAUGGGGCGACCGCCGUGCCCCGGGUGCGGGGGGCUGUGGGAGGGGGGCAGCGGCCUCGGCCCCCCCCCGGAGCCGGAGCGGCGCACGGCCUGGAGGAGGGGGCGCGUUUCUCUUGGGGUCCCAGGAGUCCGGCGUGGGGAGGAACAACCGCUCCCGUGUUUCCGGGACGCCGGCAAUGGGAACAAGAUGUGGGGCCAGAGCCGGGAGCGCGGCCGGCUGCUCCGGCCAAGCGGGGCUGAGCAUUUCCAGGCGCAACAGGGCUGGGCCUGGAGGCAGCUCGGCUCUGGGAUGAGUGGCACUGCGUGUCCGUGGCCUGCAUGUCCCCUCCACGGGGACGUCCCUGGGACAAGGAGCACUGCGUGUGUCCCCUCCAUGGGGAGACAUCCCUGGGACACAGAGCACCGCAUGGCCAUGGCAUGCAUGUCCCCUCCAUGGGGACAUCCCUGGGACAUGGAGCAUCACACGUGUCCCCUCCGUGGGGACAUCCCUGGGACACAGAGCACCGCAUGGCCAUGGCCUGCGUGUCCCCUCCGUGGGGACAUUCCUGGGAUAUGGAGCACCACAUGUGUCUCCUCCAUGGGGACAUCCCCGGGACACAGAGCGCUCCAUGUCCAUGGCCUGCGUGUCCCCUCCGUGGCACGUCCCCGUCGCCGGGGUGCAGCCCUGCGCCCCCGUCCCUGUCCCGCGGCGCUCACGGAGGACGCGGAGCCGGCAGCCUUUCUGCAAGUCAUUUUAUUUCCAUUUCCCUCAGCCCCCGGCUCGGAGCCUCGCGGCCCCCCCGGGCAUCCCGGCCCCCCUGGCCCGUGCCAGGGCCGGCACAGCGGCACGGGGGGAGCCGGGGCCGGGGGGGCCGGGGCGCCCCGGUGGGGGGGACACGGGCUGGAGGCCCCCGCCUGCACUGCGGGGCCGGAGCCCCCCGUCCACCGGGGCACCCCCCAGGGCCAGUGUUGGGGGGGGGCGGCUGGGGACAGGCGUCGGGGACCCAGCUCCUAACUGGUGGGUCACAGGGAUAAUAUUCGCUUUACGUGUGCUUACAUUGAAACGGGGCGUGAAGGCCUCACCGGCAGCCGCGGCACGG
rnacentral:lncRNA from 1 species